rnacentral:lncRNA from 1 species
UAGUAUCUAUCCCAAAGACCAGGGAGAAAGGAAGGAAAGAUUCUGGUUCUGUCCUCUUCCCCAAGGCAAGGCUGGCUGCCCUACCAACAGAGGCAAAGAGAAGAGUGUGCAAGGCUGGCUGCCCUCCCAACAGAGGCAAAGAGGAGUGUGUGUUGAAAUAUCCAUUGAAUCCCUGAGACAACUGGAUCCUGGCCCAUUGAAUCAUAAACUCACUGAAAUUUUUAAUAUAAUGCCUCUUAGCCUGGUUUGGAGAAAACGUCACAGAGAGGCACCAUUUGUUGUGGUUUUACAUGAAAAUUUUCUGACCCUGAACCUGGUUUGAUGGAAAUCAUUUGCUGAGGUUAUUUAGAAAAUUGUUACCUCAAAAAUGACCUAGGGGUCCUUAGAAUAAUAACACACAGAAGAAUAGCCUCAUUUUUCUGUUGGGCCCAGGAAACCAUGCCGAUUACCGACCGAGCUCUCAAUGGAAAAAUGCAGUCGGCGUGAACCACGCACGAACACAGCAGAGAAAGAAGAAAACACACACCACGAGGAACCCUAAUAGGACAAUACAUUAUAAGCCUCAUGGUACAUCCACUUGGUGUGCUGGGAGAGUCAGGAUGAGGACCUGAGAAGAACAGCAGCUUGAACCUGACUUCAUUUAACAGCCCACUGCCCUCUUGCCAAGAACCCAUCACAGACCUUCCCAGAAGAGAGGGAUGAGCCUCACCUAUGAAUAAGUCCUCAGAAACUCAAAUUUGAUUCUAAUGGAUUGUUUUCUCAGAAAGACUGAGCAUGUCCCCCCACAUCUCUGUCAUUUCCCACAGUAGUAACCUCUGCAGAUGCCACAUAGAAAACAAAACAAAACAAAAAAACAUGAGGUUGGUGGGCAGAUAGGCAGGGUAUAAACAAACAGCCUUGUAACCCAGAAGCUGUGUGAUAUACAGUAAACUUCACAACACUGAAAAGAUGUCCUAUCUGUUAAAAUGGGGUAAUAACAACUACCCGAAUGUUUAGGAAUAGAACUUCAAUAAAUGAUACAUUUUAUAGUACAGCAGACCAUCCUGUAAA